rnacentral:pre_miRNA from 1 species
UUAGCUCAUAUUUGUAUGGAAUUGGAUCGUUUGUCUACGUUUGCCGCUAGGGGCGCUGUUCCAAAUGCAUACAAUUUGAGUUA